AGAGUUAAAUAGUACGUGAAAUUGUUGAAAGGGAAACGAUUGAAGUCAGUCAUGCUUGCAGGGAAUCAGCAAAGUGGUUUUCUUCUUUGUGCACUUCCUUGCUUGGCAGGUUAGCAUCAAUUUUGAUUGUCAUUAAAGAACUGAGGGAAUGUGGCUUCUUCGGGAGUGUUAUAGACCUUGGUGGAUGUGACGAUUGGGAUUGAGGAUUGCAGCGAAUGCUUCUUGGCUAGUCACCUGGCUUCUGAUGGUCACCUUGCUUUCGAUAGCUUGCUAACGUUGGUGAGAUUUGAUUGUCUAGAUGUUGGAGUGAUCAUAAAUUCGCUAAGGAUGCUGACGUAAUGGCUUUAAACGA
rnacentral:misc_RNA from 1 species